rnacentral:rRNA from 1 species
GACGAACGCUGGCGGCGUGCUUAACACAUGCAAGUCGAACGGAGCGAAUGAAAGCUUGCUUUUAUGAGCUUAGUGGCAAACGGGUGAGUAACACGUAGACAACCUGCCGAUAGGAUGGGGACAACAUUCCGAAAGGAAUGCUAAUACCGAAUGGCGUGUAGGGGAGGCAUCUCCCGUACAUGAAAGAUGGCCUCUGAAUAUGCUAUCACCUAUCGACGGGUCUGCGUCUGAUUAGCUAGUAGGUAAGGUAACGGCUUACCUAGGCGACGAUCAGUAGCCGGUCUGAGAGGAUGAACGGCCACAUUGGGACUGAGACACGGCCCAGACUCCUACGGGAGGCAGCAGUGGGGAAUCUUCCGCAAUGGGCGCAAGCCUGACGGAGCAACGCCGCGUGAGUGAAGAAGGUCUUCGGAUCGUAAAGCUCUGUUGAAGGGGACGAACGUACAUAGUGCGAAUAGUGCUGUGUAAUGACGGUACCUUUG